GACGAACGCUGGCGGCGUGCUUAACACAUGCAAGUCGAACGGAAAGGCCCUGCUUUUGCGGGGUGCUCGAGUGGCGAACGGGUGAGUAACACGUGAGUAACCUGCCCUUGAAUUUGGGAUAACUUCAGGAAACUGGGGCUAAUACCGGAUAGGAGCUCCUGCUGCAUGGUGGGGGUUGGUAAGUUUCGGCGGUUGGGGAUGGACUGGCGGCUUAUCAGCUUGUUGGUGGGGUAGUGGCUUACCAAGGCUUUGACGGGUAGCCGGCCUGAGAGGGUUACCGGCGACAUUGGGACUGAGAUACGGCCCAGACUCCUACGGGAGGCAGCAGUGGGGAAUAUUGCACAAUGGGCGGAAGCCUGAUGCAGCAACGCCGCGUGCGGGAUGACGGCCUUCGGGUGGUAAACCGCUUUCGCCUGUAACGAAGCGUUAGUGACGGUAAUGGGUAAAGAAGCACCGGCUAACUACGUG
rnacentral:rRNA from 1 species